CAAUAAAAAGGAAACAAAUAACCAAGACCAAGCCCAGCCCAAAAGAAAGCGCACGUUGCCCCUGUGACGGGCGUCACAAGGAGUGUGACGAGCGUCACACUAAAAGCACUCCUGUGACGAGCGUCACACAUGGUGUGACGAACGUCACACCAGUCCUCUAUAUUUUUGGCGCAAGGAACUCAACUGACCACGUUGAAGCCUACUUCCACGCACGCUUAACCCUCGGAACGAGACCACGCACACGGAAACCCUUGAAAAGUAGUUACACCAGCAGCUGUAUAAAUAGCAGCUAAUUGGGAACUUUCAA
rnacentral:lncRNA from 1 species